rnacentral:rRNA from 1 species
CCUACGGGAGGCAGCAGUGGGGAAUCUUGCGCAAUGGCCUAACGGCUGACGCAGCGACGCCGCGUGUGGGAUGAGGCUCUUCGGAGUGUAAACCACUGUUGCCCGGGACGAACAGCUCGAUUAAUCGAGCCUGACGGUACCGGGUGAGGAAGCACCGGCUAACUCCGUGCCAGCAGCCGCGGUAAUACGGGGGGUGCGAGCGUUGUCCGGAAUCACUGGGCGUAAAGGGCGCGUAGGUGGUUUGAUAAGGGUGUGGUGAAAGUCCGGGGCUCAACCCCGGAUCUGCCGUGCCGACUGUCAAACUCGAGGACUGUAGAGGCAGACGGAAUUCCGGGUGUAGCGGUGGAAUGCGUAGAGAUCCGGAGGAAGACCGGUGGCGAAGGCGGUCUGCUGGGCAGUUUCUGACACUGAGGCGCGACAGCGUGGGGAGCAAACAGGAUUAGAUACCCUGGUAGUCCACGCCGUAAACGAUGGGUACUAGGUGCCUGGGGGAGCGACCCUCUGGGUGCCGGCGCUAACGCAGGAAGUACCCCGCCUGGGGAGUACGACCGCAAGGUUGAAACUCAAAGGAAUUGACGG